CAUGCAAGUCGAGGGGCAGCAUCAUCAAAGCUUGCUUUGAUGGAUGGCGACCGGCGCACGGGUGAGUAACACGUAUCCAACCUGCCGACAACACUGGGAUAGCCUUUCGAAAGAAAGAUUAAUACCGGAUGGCAUAAUUAUUCCGCAUGGGAUAAUUAUUAAAGAAUUUCGGUUGUCGAUGGGGAUGCGUUCCAUUAGGCAGUUGGCGGGGUAACGGCCCACCAAACCUACGAUGGAUAGGGGUUCUGAGAGGAAGGUCCCCCACAUUGGAACUGAGACACGGUCCAAACUCCUACGGGAGGCAGCAGUGAGGAAUAUUGGUCAAUGGACGAGAGUCUGAACCAGCCAAGUAGCGUGAAGGAUGACUGCCCUAUGGGUUGUAAACUUCUUUUAUACGGGAAUAAAGUGAGCCACGUGUGGCUUUUUGUAUGUACCGUAUGAAUAAGGAUCGGCUAACUCCGUGCCAGCAGCCGCGGUAAUACGGAGGAUUCGAGCGUUAUCCGGAUUUAUUGGGUUUAAAGGGAGCGUAGGCGGGUUGUUAAGUCAGUUGUGAAAGUUUGCGGCUCAACCGUAAAAUUGCAGUUGAUACUGGCGACCUUGAGUGCAACAGAGGUAGGCGGAAUUCGUGGUGUAGCGGUGAAAUGCUUAGAUAUCACGAAGAACUCCGAUUGCGAAGGCAGCUUACUGGAUUGUAACUGACGCUGAUGCUCGAAAGUGUGGGUAUCAAACAGGAUUAGAUACCCUGGUAGUCCACACAGUAAACGAUGAAUACUCGCUGUUGGCGAUAUACAGUCAGCGGCCAAGCGAAAGCAUUAAGUAUUCCACCUGGGGAGUACGCCGGCAACGGUGAAACUCAAAGGAAUUGACGGGGGCCCGCACAAGCGGGGGAACAUGUGGUUUAAUUCGAUGAUACGCGAGGGACCUUACCCGGGCUUAAAUUGCAACUGACUGAACCGGAAACGGUUCUUU
rnacentral:rRNA from 1 species